CUUCAACGUCUUGAUCUCUUCCAUAAGCUUUUGGUUCAUUUCUUUGUAUUCUUCAGAUUCAGUCUUCAGUUCGUUUAGAACACGAAUAGCAUCACCAAGUAUGGCCAUUUUGUCUGUUUUUACAGGUCUCCCAGGUUCCAGAACAGAACAUAGCUCUGAAAACCUGCACGAAGUUAAACAAGAAAAAAUUUUGGCCGUGAGAUUGUAGACCUUCCCAGUAGCACUAACAACGGGAAAAUCAUAUCUAACCUUCAACGUUUUAAUCUCUUCCAUAAGCUUUUGGUUCAUCUCUUUGUAUUCGUCAGAUUCAGUCUUCAGUUCGUUUAGAACACGAAUAGCAUCACCAAGUAUGGUCAUUUUGUCUGUUUUUACAGGUCUCCCAGGUUCCAGAACAGAGCAUAGCUCUGAAAACCUGCACGAAGUUAAACCAGAUUCAAGUAAAUUGAUUCAGAACACCUAAUCGUCACUUGAACGACAUUAUAACUAGUGGCAAAGUGAUUUAAGUGCCACCAAGAAAAUGAUACUUCUCGUUCUGAGAGUGUCUGUCAAACUUCUCUAUUUAUGAUGUAUAUCCUUCUCAAUUUAUAACGGCCUUUUUUCGAUACACUCGGCUGUACUCAGAAGAACUUAUACCAAUGGCUGCUCCAAGUAAGACUUCCCAACCCAGUAAGAGAACAAGGUAGUUGUUACAUCCAUGUUUAAUCUACAAUGCCGUUGUUAUGGUGCAUGAUAGAAAAUAACAGAAAAAUAUCUGUUUUAGAAUGCAGAGAGGAAAUAUGAGUUCAUAUGAACAUGAU
rnacentral:lncRNA from 1 species